rnacentral:rRNA from 1 species
UACGUAGGCAGCGAGCGUUGUUCGGAAUUACUGGGCGUAAAGAGUGUGUAGGCGGUGCUCUAAGUUCGGUGUGAAAUCUCCUGGCUCAACUGGGAGGGUGCGCCGGAAACUGGAGUGCUUGAGCGUGGGAGAGGAAAGCGGAAUUCCUGGUGUAGCGGUGAAAUGCGUAGAUAUCGCUUGGAACGCCGAAGGUGAAAACAGACUGCUGGGGUUGCGCCGACGCUGAGACACGAAAGCCAGGGGAGCAAACGGG